rnacentral:rRNA from 1 species
AUUGAACGCUGGCGGUAGGCUUAACACAUGCAAGUCGAACGGUAGCAGCUCUAGCUUGCUAGAGGCUGACGAGUGGCGGACGGGUGAGUAACGCGUAGGAAUCUACCUAAUAGUGGGGGACAACCUGGUGAAAACCAGGCUAAUACCGCAUACGCCCUACGGGGGAAAGGCGGGGGAGUCUUCGGACCUCGCGCUAUUAGAUGAGCCUGCGUUAGAUUAGCUAGUUGGUGGGGUAAAGGGCUCACCAAGGCGACGAUCUAUAGCUGGUCUGAGAGGAUGAUCAGCCACACUGGGACUGAGACACGGCCCAGACUCCUACGGGAGGCAGCAGUGGGGAAUAUUGCGCAAUGGGCGAAAGCCUGACGCAGCCAUACCGCGUGUGUGAAGAAGGGUUUAGGCUCGUAAAGCACUUUAAGUAGGGAGGAAGGCCUAAAGUUUAAUACGCUUUAGGAUUGACGUUACCUACAGAAUAAGCACCGGCUAACUCCGUGCCAGCAGCCGCGGUAAAG